UUGGACUCUGGCAGCGUCUCUUUGGAGUCUGAGGUGGAAGAGUUGUUGUGGUGUUUUGUUGGAGGAGAGUGAGUCUAUGUGGUGUAGUUGAAGUGAGAGAGGUUCAGAGUCGGAUAGAGAUUCUUGUUCUGAUUCUUGUGGCCAUGAGAGGGUUGAAGGGUUAGGGAGAGAGUGAAUAGGUAGAGUUUGGGUUUGGAAAAGAGUGGUGGUGGUGGUGGAUGAGAGUGUGAAGGAGAUAGCUAAUAAUAGGAAGAGAAGGGUUCUUUUGUUGUAGUUCUCUUCCAUUGUAGUGAGAGUGAAGAGAAAAGAGUGUGAUAUGAGAGUAGUAGAAAUGGUGAAUAAAUAAGUAGUGGUACUAGUAGUAAGUAAUAAUUGAAUGAGAAGAGAGUGAGAGUGAGGUUCGGUGCGGUUGUGUUGAAAUGAGUGUGGGGUGGCUGAGUCAGUGCAGUGAUUGUUGUCUAACCAUAUUAGAUUACAUUACCCGUGUAAAAAUGAAUUAUUAUUAUUGCGUGUAGUUGGGUAAGGUUGGUGUUGUUGGGGUAGAGCUGGAUAUCAUUACCAGUAAUUGCUUUGCCUUUAUUGUUAUUCUAGAUAGACGGGUGAGUUAUGUUAUGGAGAAUCUUUCAUUGCUUCUUGCAAUUAGUUAUGGUAAGUAGUUACACUACCAACAAGUGGCCAAUGUCCAAUUUGCUACUACUAUGUGGCCAAUGCCCCAUGCAUUUAGUGAAUUUCUAUUCAAACUAAAUUUUGUAACUAGUUUCUUACGUUUGUUCAGAAUACUAAGUUUGUAAUUUUUAUCACUAAAGUAACAUUAAAUAUCGUUAAAAAUGUGUUAAGAAAAUAUUAUUAAUAGAUAAUUUUAUCUCUAAUGUGGCAUCUCUUUUAUUUUCUUAUAAUAUUAAACUAAUUAUUAUAGUUAUAUAAUCUUUCUGUUGAGAUAAUCAUUUAAAUUUAAAUUUAAAUUUUGCAAUUCAAAACAAAAAUUAAUAGUCAAGCGGAAACUUCUGAUAGUUGUAAGUGGAAAAAAAUAUUUUGUAAUUGAUAAAAAAAUAAUUAAUAUUUGGAUAAUUUUUUCGAAGGGAAUCAGAUGAAACCAUAAAACCAUAGAAAUUAAGUGUUUGAGAGGUUUUUUUUUACAAGAGAGGAAUGUCCAUCAUUUUUGUGGUCUUUCAAGUUCUUCUUUGUAUCCGUGUCACCCCUUUUGAUCAGUGUCACCCCUUUUGAUAUUCUCUUUGGAAUCUCUUAUGUAAUUCUCCUUUCAAUCCUUUUUCUUUGACUUUUUCUAUAAUGAGAUACCCCUACGCUUCCUAUGCUUGAAUUCUCAAGGAAAUGUAUGUCGUCUCACUAAUGACUACUAAUCAUGAGUUGCAACAGUUCAAACAUCAAUUUUGUAACCUCUAUGUGACCCUGUUCGCACGGGUUUUUGGGCGAAGAAUCUCUAACCUCCUAUUGAGGUUUACUUGCAGGAUCAGCUACAAAAUCCUAGACUAAGUGUUAAGUUUAUGAGAUGUUUUAUUUAAAUGUUUGGAUUAAGAAAACAAUAGACACGAAAUGCAUGUAAAAGGUGCAAUUAAAAUAGAUGGACGAAAGACAAGAUAAACCGUAAAUGGCAAAGUAGAUAAAAAGACUUGGUAAUUUAAAUUGCUUGAAGGUAAAUGUGGACGCAAUCAUACAUUUUCGUAGGAAUGAACUUUUUUCUCUAAAUGCUUGAUACUUUGAGUGUUUUCCCUCUACAAUGUUACAAAUGCGACCUUUAAAACUAACAAUGAACUUUGCUUAAAUAGGAAAUAAAAUUAACUUCUAUUUCGCUCUUGAUGAUUAAUAGCUUGACAUGUGUUUGUCCACUUACUUUAUAACUUCUCACGUUCUUACUAUUUUCAAAUCUUACCCACGUAAACUGUCAUUUGCUUCGACUUCGACCUGCACAUUUUCUAUCUGUCGGACCUAUUUCAACUUGGCCUGUGUUCCAUAUUCGUCUUGUCUGUCGAACCCCUUCGACCAUGUUCACUCUUCUCGACGCUUCGUUUUGUGAUUCCAUACUUCUCGCUUCGAUUUUCCUCUUUUGCUUAGUCAAAAUUUGUUGGCUAACAAAUUUCCCCUUAAAAGGCCAGUUUCGAUUGAGAAACUUGGCGUUUUGUCUUUCCCAAUUUCGACUGGGUGUCUAAUCGUUGUUGAUAUCAUGCGCAAUGACGAAACCUUUAUGUGCCAUGAUUUCUAAGGGGAGAUAUCAUCAUUUGCAGUUACUUCCUAGGUCGUGGAUUUUCAACCACCUUUAUUAACUUUCCACUAUAGUAGAAACUGAACAUUUUUUUACCCUAGACUGUCUCUUGGUUGGCCUCAACUUUUGCUUACAAAUACCAUUCUUUCACAUUUUUUGUUUUCCUUCUUCUCUGUUUGCGUAUAUUUUUCUAUAACUUUCAGAACAAUAAUACUUUCCUCAUUUCCCUUCUUUCUUCCAUUAAAGUGGCCUCUUCUGCUAACGCUAUGGAUGCAGUCACCUAUAACACUGGUAACAACCCCGUUGCUUUCAACCUCACUGAAGAAGAAAUUCUAAAACCCAUUCCUCAACCAGCAUCUACUAACGAAGUUGUAGUAGAGAUUUGACAACGUCAAAUGCUCAUUCCCUUUGUUGUUGCUGAUAAAUUCCUCGCUUUCCACGAGCCAUAUCGAAAUACAAAAAUGCAAUUGAAAAACGUCCAAUCAUACUUUCCUUGCUUUACUCCAGCUGUUCCACCGGCCUUUGAGAAGAAUGGUUCCAUCGACCUGAAGUUCAUGGACCCAAAGGCCAGGGUUUUUAGGUCGAUGCCCACUCUUGGUAACAAAGAGUAUGUGGCUUGGCUCAACAAAUUCCAAAACAAACGUCAGGAAUAAUGGAAAACGGUUGGCAUCUUCGACUCCAUCCAAAUUUCGAGGAACCCCAUCGAAUCAACCCAUGUAUGUUACUUGCUUCGAUGUACUUCUGGGAAGGUUCGACUAACACCUUACAACUCCCUUAUGGCAUGUUUACGCCUACCCUUUUCGACAUGGCAGCCAUCACUGGUCUCUCAUCUCUGGGCGAAACCUUCGACCCAACUCUUUUGACGGAAAACAGUUUUGCCUUCAAUCGUGCAAGUUUUUAGAAUUACAUUGAAAAUCACUAUGAUCAGGACUCCACUGAAGUGUCCGACGAGGAACACAUUGCUUUCCUAACUCUCUAGCUCUCAUAUUAUUUGUUUUGUCAUGGCUCUCUAUAGAUAGCUAAGAGCUAUAUAAGCUUGGAGAUCCAAAAUCAUGAAGGUAGAUUGGUCUCUUUGGGCAAGCUUCUGCUAGCAUCUCUUUACCACUAUCUAGGGCUUACGACACUGAAGCUAAAGUUUCUCCACUCUACUUCUAAGGCCUUAAAUAUGUCUGGCCCUAUGUGGUGCUACAACACUAGCUAAAUGCCACUUUCGAGUAUCGGUUGGGUUAUCUUGUGUCGGUGUGUAUGAUGCGUUUGACCCAGGAUCAGCCUAUAGAAGGUGUAAGACUUGCCUUGAUGAUAUGUCAGGAGACCCCCUACAAACAUAUUUUCACGAAGUACAUUAAUAUGUUCAUUGAAGCCACCUCUUUUGUUCUAGGCAUGGCCCCUUUUGUGGAUAGAAACUUUGGUCUAACAUGGUUCAAAAACCUUUUUCCUGGUGACUCUCCAUAAGCUGUAGCACUGCCGAACACUGUGUGGAUGGCAUUUCUGACUCCCACAAUGUUGUCCUUUAGGAUAAAGAAUGGGUCGAAGGGGUAUGGAUUUAUGAACUAUCAGUCCAACUUGGUGGCUCAACAAUUUGGCUUGAGUGAGAUGCUGCCAAAAUCUUUGGUGUAUCAAUUAACUGAUAUUGUGUGGGCUGGUCAACAACUAAACUUUAAAGGUCACAAAGCUUGCCUUAAAUUUCACAAAUCGACUCAGCACCUUGAGUUACCCGUUUUCAAAUUUCACCAAUCAUUCUUAACGACCAAGGACUUCAACAAGUAGUGGUCUGAAUACCAACACAAGUAUUUCCCCAAUGCACUCUUCCUCCAAAAUUUGAUUGACGUUUUUUCUGCCCUUGCUGGUGAAACACUGGCUUCACAGCCGAAUACUGACGCUCCCGUCGAGAACAUACAAACUAUUGAUGCCGAUGAGGACCAACCAAAGAAGGUUAAUAUUGCUUUAUUUCCUUUCCUUUCUUUAAGAAGCAAAACCCACUUACCUUCUCUGUAUUUGUUUUCUAGGGUCGAAAGCGGGCUCCAGUUGCUGCGCCAUCUACUCCGUCCACUUCGGCAAGAAAGAAAAAGAAAGUUCCAGCCAAGAAACCAUCUUUAAAAACUCUUUCUUUGACUACAAAGAUUUUUGUCUCUGACGUUCUUAUUGAGAUCUUUAAACCCAUUGGUCAAGAAGAACCUAUUCCAACUUCCCCAAAACACGUAACUCCCGAGGUAUUUGAACAUUCUUGUUUGGUAACCUCAUGAAUUAUUCCUCGAUAUUGAUCCUAACUUCUUUUUGUAGGGAAAAACGGCUGAUUCGACUCUAUAAGACCCUAAUUUUGAUCCUAAGAUCCCUCAUGUUAUCUCAUCGUAUGCAUUGGGAUCACACUUUGGCAUUCUCCUUACCCCUCAUUCAUUAGGUUUGCAUUGGGAGAGAUCACCAAGCACAUUUUAUUGUAUCAUACUUCAUUUUUCUUUGUUUACUAACCAAAAUACCAAAAAUAUGUCAUUUGUAUAGAUUAACUCUUUUGUAGGUGGUGUGCAUGCUCACCUAUGCUCUAUCAAGCUCAUAUCUAGGGUUUAACACCCUCAUUGCAAGGAGCUCAAUCAAUAAUUGGUCUAUAUUGGCUCUAAUUAUCAUAUAUGAAUCCCCAUGAUCUUCACAUGUCAUUUUUAUCAAGAAACCAUCAAGAGUUGGGGGUUUUGUUUGCCUUGGAAACCCUAAUUCAUCUGGGUAUCUUGUGUGACUUCUUCAACAAAUUUCUCCAAUAAUUGAUCAAAUAUUCCAAGGUAUACUUCACAUUACAUCAUCUUAUGCAUAUAUGAUCCUCCAUGAGUCCCAAAAGUCAAGAGAAUGUCAAGCUAGCAAAUUGGUUCAUGGUGGUUGACCAGGGAAAGUUAACUGAUCAAAAUUGGGGUUCCCUGGACCCUAUCUCCUACAACUUUUGUCAUAUGAAAAUGAUUCCAAGAUCAAAGUUACUCUAAGUGACAUUUAAAACAACUUUCAGGUUGAGGUCAAGAUCUAAUUUUUCCUGGAAGGUCAUUUUUUAUGGUGAAAGAUUAUAGGGCAUUUUGUCUAAACCCUAAUUUAGAAGUCAACUUCUCAAGACCAUAACUUACUCAAUUUUCAUGAGAUGAAAGCCAAUAAAAUUUCAUAAUCAAAUUCAAGAUGUCUAAGUCAACUUUUAUGUUUGGAGGAAGUGCAAAUUCAACUUGCAAAUGCAUGUGCAAAGAGGAAACAUUAUAGGUCAUUUUGGGCCAAUACCAUUGAACAAGUGAUUUUCCUCAACUUCUAAAAUGCAUAACGCCUCCAUAACAAAUCCAAAUGAGGCCAAAUUUGUCACAAAAUUGAAUAGGUUUGAAAUAACUAUAACUUUGAUGAAGCAACCUUUCUCAUUUUAAGUUCAUAGAAAAAGUUAUUCAAGGUGGAAGAAGUGAACAUUUGACUUGGGACUUAGAAAUUUUUCAAAUAUGUUUGAUUUCUGAAACUUCCACCUCAAAAUUCAUCAUGAUCCAAGCUUCAAAUUAAAAAGUGUUUAACAUGAAAGUUGUUCCCCUUGAUCUCACCAUUCCAAAACAUCCAAGAUGAUAUCAUUUGGACCAAAAUUGAAGGACUUGCACAUGGUUUCAUUAUGGGAAGUGUUUUGGCAAGAUUGAACUUCACAUGAUCAUUUCCAUUUGCAUGUUUGCACAUGAUGGUUUCAGCAGACUUUGUACAUGAUUUGGAAGUGGAUUGCAUCACUCUUGAGGCCCAAAUGAUUGCUCAUGCACCCAUGCAAGGAAGUUGCUAAUUUUGUCCAAUUUUCAAGUGGUGCAAAUAUCAAACACAUUGCCUAUUUAAACAAGCUUAAGGCUUCAGAUUCAUGAUCAACACCUUGCCCAAGCUUUGUUAGACCUCUGCAAACCCUCACUGCCAUAGAAUUUUCUAAGAUUUCUUUUGAAAUCUAGCUUGAACUUCACCUUUUGUUUGGAAGUUAAAACCCCAGAAAGCAAUCAAAUCCAGAUCAAGAUCAAGUGAAAUUGGAUCAACUCGAAUGUGAUUUUUCAGAAAUUUCUCCUCUUCGAUUCUAUUUUAUUUAUCCACUAUUCUUGUUGAUUUUUGGUUGUCUGAAGUCCUACCAAUGUAGGCAACAAGAUUGAGUUCUUUGAGGUCAAAUCGAAGCAACUCAGUUCAUGAUCCUCAAAAUUCAACUCCCUGUAUCUUUUCAUAUACUUGGAAUUUGAUAAAAUUGAGGCCAAAUUCAAAUUCAUGAGCAUUUUUUUCUUUAAAUCCAUGUCUUGCUUUUUCAUUUUGGUGAUGGUUGAAGGUGGACCAGUCUGGUGAGGUCCACCGGAGAAGAAGAUCGGAGCUCUGUCUCCGGCGAUGUGUUGGAAGCAUCUCAACCAUAGGAUCCAUUCAAAUUAUUUUAAUCUUGAGCGUUGUUUCUAAUUACCAAGCGUGCAUCUUAGUUGACCCAUACCUUUGUGGAACGCGCGCUUUGGACCAUCUGAUCUGCCACCUCAAUUAAUGGGGGAGAUCAGAUGGUCCACGUAUUUUUGAAUUUUUGAAUUUUCAUUUUUAUUGCUUUAUUUUCAUUAAUUCAUAUUAAUUUCAUUAUUGAUCCAAAAAAUACGGGACUUUCACCAAAAAAAAUCAAAUGUUUGUCUCUUUUAUUUUCUGAAUUAAAAUUAUCUUUUGGAUCAAUAUUGGUAUUUUUUAUGAUUUAAUUGUUUUUGUGCAUAUUUUUAAUUGUUUAGAAAUACUUUUGACUUUUCAAAAAUAGUGAAAAAAUUUCUCCAAGGUCCUUUGACCUUGUUUGACCUAUGAUAAAUCUCUUGGCCAUUUAUUUCGUGUUUUGAAGAGGUUUUAGGUUUUUGAUAAAACAUAAUUUAAUUUAAUGCAUUUUAAUUUGAUUUUUAUUUGUUUAAAUUGUGAAUAAAUUGUGUUGAGUCAUUUUUAUUGACUUGUGGAGUUUGACUAUUGUGUUUGGGCCUUGGUUAAUGUUGAUUUGACUUUUGUUGGAUUAAAAUCAUUGGAUUUAGGGGAUUGAUGAAAUGUACAUUUCAUCUCCCAAAAUGAAUGAAUGAUUUUAAUUUGAUAAAAUUUCUCCCAUGACCAAUUUGUGUUUGAUUUUGUUGGAUUAAAAUCAUUGGAUUUAGGGGAUUGAUGAAAUGUACAUUUCAUCUCCCAAAAUGAAUGAAUGAUUUUAAUUUGAUAAAAUUUCUCCCAUGACCAAUUUGUGUUUGUCUCAUUCCCCCUCCCUCUUCAUCUUCAAUCCCUUUCUACCCCAUUCCUCUCAUUGGCCAAUGACAUCUCAAUAUCCCAAGGCUAAUUUAUUCAUGAACCAAUACAAGUAUGGAUGAGAUUGGGUCCACCAUUUAAUCAUUUUCUUUUUUGUGUGUGGUAUGUUUUAGGAGUAUGAUUUAUUAUACCAUAUCUCUAACAUGCAUUAACACCAAAAAAUUUAUUGCCCGACCUCAGAUAGUUGUGACUUCUACAUAAGUCCAAUUACGAUUGCUUAACAUAGCGCUAAAUUUUGAUCCAAAAGCAUAGCAUUCUAAUAAGUGAGAUUGUAAGUCUCCCCCCUUUCAUGGUAUUGUGUGGAAACUUGGUCUUUUUUCCUUCCUUUGGAAGAUAUCUUGGUUCAAGGAUCCAUGCUUGUGAAUAGAGGGUUGAGUGUUCUCCAAAGAAUGACUUAAACAAUUGAAAAGUAAAACUCCACUAACUUCUAAUCAACUAACCCUUGACUAACUCUUUAAUUUCAAGUCAUUUACUUUAUGCACUUUAAAUUCAAGCCAUUUAUCAUUUGUCAUUAUACAUAUCAUUUAACCUGUUUAUUUUUAAUGUCAUUUUCACUUUGCUCACUUAAGCCAUAGAUUGUGAUUGUAUAUAUUUGUUUGUUUAUCUUGUUUGUGUGUGUGGUCUUAGGACCUUAAAAUACUCAAUAAACAACAAAAAUCCUAAAAAUAUUUGUGUGGACUGUUGGAUUUAAUCUGAGCAUUGGACUUAGAAUUAGGCAACAUUCCCUAUGCAAAAGGACUUGGCCAAUGCCAACAUUUCUGAAACCAAGUCAUUAUGAUGUGAGCUUUCAUCUAAUGUAAGUUUUGGGAUCCACUUGAGUUCAUCUGCAACUUGGUAUUGAUGAAAAUGUUACUUUGAAUCUGUGUCUAAUGCUUUAUUCUGAGUCAUUCAAGGAGUAUGCCAUCUGAUACACGGGAGCUUAAGAAGAAGACUAUGAAGUUGCUAGCUUGGAUGUGGCUAUAUUUAUUUGAUGCAUUGCUCUUCAUAUUCCUUGUUUAUUGGUAUUUGUUUGAUUCUAAAGUCCAAAGGAAAAAUGGGUUUCUAUAUGACAUUCUUGUCUAUUGGAUUGCAUCCCAUUGGUCAGAUCUUUUCCACUCUUAACUUUUAAGUUUUUGCUUAGGACUAGUCUCUUCAUCUCCUCCCACUUCUUAAAUUUCAAAUCUCUCCCUCUUUUCAAAAAUCUUCUUUGCUUGUGAUUUUUAAACCUAGACCUUAUUGCAAACUAGAAACUUUGGCCUUAUACCAUUGCAUUUUUAAACUCUUUUCUUAAAUCAAAUUUGUAAGUGAAUCUAAUCAUAUUGACUUAAAAUUUCAAAAGACAAAAAGAACUAACACUCAUCCAAACUCUUUUAGGCCCUUUGUGCCUCUUUUUAAUUUAAAAUUUUAUUAAAUGCAAUUCACUCACUUUGAAAUUGAUACCAUAAACUACGAGGUUUUGAUCCCUCAUUUUCAUGUUGGUAUGUAGGCAUAAGUCUGAAGAUCUUGUCAAACACAAAAAUAUAAUUAAUGAGUUCUUUUCUCAUCUCCUCACUCUAUUUAUUGCAAACAUAAUUUUAUACUAAAACACAUGCACAUAUAAAAAAGGGCUUCCUAGGAGUACCUAUGACACUUUGGGUGCUAACACCUUCCCUCUGUGUAACCAACCCCUUUACCUGUAAUCUCUCGCAUUUUAUUAGUUUUGAUUUGAAAACUUCUUAUCUUUGGGUUUUGUUCGUACUUUUCCCUUUUCCUUUGGAAACAAUAAAAUCACGGUGGCGACUCUGGUUUUAUUGACGUUAAGUUUAUCCAUAACUUAAUGGUCAUGAAUUUACCGCUACAGACUCUUGCUGAGGCUAACAACAACGUAAGGGUCGAAACUGAGAAUCCAGCUGAGACUGCCACCCUUUUGAGUCCCCAAAAAAUUGAUGAGUUUCACGACACAUAUCAAAUUCAAGAUCCUUCAACCGCUGUUGGCAAAGGUAAUACAACCGCUACUAUUGGCGAAACCCUUUUGACUACUACUAGCAAUCUGAUUGGAAAAGAAAAAUCAAAUCCCCUAUCCUCUAAAAAAAUUCCCCCCUUGUGUAAGACAAAAGUUCCAAUGGUACUCUUUCUCUAGAGAAGAUUCUAUCUAUGAAGCAUCAGAAUCUAGCAGAGACAUUGAGAAGGCUAUAGAAGCAUCGCCAAGCAUCGACUGAUGUUCAACCCUCUGGCUCGACUGCCAUGCCUAUUCCAGAAAUGGAUGCUUCCGUCAUUCUCAAACUCCAACAGUGAAAAACCUAUUUGUUUGAGCGUGAAAUUUUGGUCGUCGUCGCAGAGGAAGAGGCCUUGGGGGUCGACGUCCUCAAGCUUCUUGACGAGCUUUCUCAACAUAAAGUUCCUGCUCCUGUGGCCAAAUAUCUGAUUGAAUUUGAAGCCUUCUUCACUCACCUUGUCAAAUACCUCACUCUUCAUCGGCACGUUGACUUCCAAAUUAAAACGAAGCUCAACGAGAUGAGACGAGAAUGGGACUUCAGCGAAAUUUAUGAAAGGAAACACAAUAAUUUUGAGACUAAGAAGCAAGAGCAUUUCAACUAACGACAAGCCUUUGACCAGAAAAUCUCAAACUAUCAGGCUCAAAUGGCUGAACUCGCCAAGAAAAUUGCUGAAGUCGAGAAACAAAAAGCCUCAUUAGAUUCAACUGAGACCCUGCCGGCUCAAGAUGUUAUUGAUUAGGAAGUUUUUAAAGGAAUUUCACAUGGUGAGAAGGCCUUUGAGAUUAAAGAAAGUAUUGACCAACUGCAGGAGAAGAGGGACCUCCUCGACAACAGGAUUGAUCAUGAGAAGACUCUUUUUGAAGACUUUAAGUCUAGAUUUCCUGCCUAAUGUAUUUCUCUGUCGAGACUAUGUAACUCCGCUUGGAGAUUCUGAAUGCCAUCUUGGCUUUUUCCAUUUUAGCUUUGAUCAUUAAUGACAAGUUUUAUUACCUUUUGAUUUGAAUCUCUUGGAGCAUAGGUUUAUAUUUUUUCAAAUAUUUCCCAUUUACCCUUAAGAUUUGUCGACCAAUACCCAACUCUUGAAUUUCAUAGGCAUUAUUCGUAAACGUUUGGAUUACUUGAAAUGGUCCCUCCCGAUUUGGUGACUAUUUUCCUAAAGUUUGAUCUCUUUGAUCCAUAGGUAAGAUCACCUUCCAAAAGUAAUCAUUUAUUGCAAAAGUUUCUAUCUUGGCCUUUUUAUUAUAUGCUUUAGCCACACACACUUUUUGUCGUAACAACAUGUCUAUUGCAGCCAACCUUUCUUCGUCUAAAUAGGUCUUUUCGUCGAACAUCAGUCUCCAAUAUUAUUCUGACGGAUUAUCGUUUUUCCGCUACACUCUAACUGAUUAUAAACGGAUUUUUGCUGGCAACACGACAUCAUGCCCAAAUGUCAAACAGAAAGGCGUUGAAUUGGUUACCUCCUUUGGGGGUGUUCGACAAGCCCAUAGAAUUUGAUCUAAUGUUUUAUGCCAAUUCUUAGGUUUCUUGGAAACGUUUUUUUAUUAACCCGAUUAUCACUUUAUUGGUUUCCUCAACUUGGCCAUUUUCUUGGGCGUAGUAAGGUGUGGAAGUAACCAAAUUGAAUCCUAUUUCAGCAGCAAACUCUUGCAUCUUUUGACAAACAAAAACUGAACCUUGAUUUGUAGUAAAGAUUUCAGGAAUUCCAAACCUAUGCACAAUAUGUUUUUGAAUGAAUUCAAUCACAUCCUCUUGAUCCAUUUUUAUCAAAGGGAUAACUUCUAUCCAUUUUGUGAAAUAGUCUAUACCUACCAGGAUAAAUUUUUGUUGUUUCAACGAGGCUGGUCGAAUCUCACCGAUUACAUCUAACGCCCAACCUCGAAAGGGUCGGGGAUUGAUGAUUACAUGCAACUCGUUGACUGACACAUGUUGAAUGCUUGCAUGUAUCUGACAUUCUUGACACACUUUGGAAAAGUCAAUGCAGUCUUUUGACACACUUGGCCAGUAAAUACCUUGUCAAAAUAAUAACCAUUUCAUUUUAUGGCCGUCUUAGUGAGCUCCACAUAUUCCACUAUGUACCUCAGACAUUGCCAAGUAUGCUUCAGUAUCCCUAAGAGAAACACUCCUUCUAGAGUCUUUUUCAAUAACUCAUUUCACAGACAUACAUAACUUAACGCUCUAUACUUGAUUUUCUUGUUAGUGUUUCCGACUGGAUUUUCUAAGCACUCCAUGAUUAGUUUUCUCCAAUCUGAUUGUGACAAAUUGUCAAUGGCAAAAACUUUAUGUAUUUCAUAAUUUUCAAAUUUUCCAAAAAUUUUACUUGACAUCUCCCCCCCAUUUUUUAGGAUUGCCAUUUUGGGUGACGACGAGACAUUCGACGUCAUCUUUUCUUUCACCUUCAUAAAGUCAUUGAGCCUAUCUUUUGACAAUUUAUACCCAGAUGCAAUUUGUGCUAAAUCGUUAGCUUCUUGAUUCUUUAUUCUAGGCACAUGUGUGAUGCUGACAACCUUGAAGUACUCUAAUAGGCGUUUCUCCAUUGCGAAAUACAACAUUAGAUUUUAUUUAAUGCACUUAUAUUCUCGUUGGAUUUGUUUGAUCACUAGCUCAAAAUCACCCUUUAUCUCGACCUUCUUGGCUUCUAAAUCCCUCAAGAUUUUAAGGCCAGUGAUUAGGGAUUCGUAUUCUGCCUCAUUAUUGGAACAAUUUACGUCGACUUUACAUUUGAACUUCGUCAGAAUACCUUGUAGGGAUAAUAUUAAGAUCCCAACAUCUGUUUCGUUUUUGCGACUUGACCCGUCGAAGUAUAACCUCCAUGGGUUCGUGUCGACCAUGUUUAGUGAUGGUUCGACUAUUGCAUGGUCUACAAUAAAAUCUGCCAAUAUUUGGCCUUUCAUAGACCUCAAAGGCAUAUAUGUUAAAGAAAAUUCAGUUAAUGCUAGUGCCCAUUUCCCAAUUCGACUAUGUAGAAUAGGUUUAGACAACAUAUGUUUAAUAACAUCAAAAUGAGACGAAGCAUAAACAUCAACUGGUUUUAUAUAUUGCUUUAAUUUUAUACAUUAGAAGUACAAUCAUAUGCAUAUUUUUUCAAUCAUAUUGUACCUAGUUUCAACAUCUAUUAAAAUUCGACUGAGGUAAUAAAUGGGUCUUUCGACACCACUGUCAUCCUCUUGUGCUAAGAUACUUCCUAUGGUUGUAUCUGACGCAGCAAUAUAUAACCUCAUAUUCUUAUUCAUACUAGGUGGAAAUAAAAUGAGAGGCUUUGUGAGGUACUCUUUGAUGGCGUUGAAAGCCUCUUGUUGCUCUCGUUUCUAGUGAAAAUCACUUUCCUUCUUGAUCUUGAGCAAUGGCGAGAAAACCUUUGUCUUGCCACUUAGAUUUGAUAUAAAUAUUCUCAAGAAAUUUAUCUUUCCUAACAAAGACCGGAGCUGCUUCUUUGUCGAAUGAGUCUAGAGAUCCAAAAUUGCUUUUAUUUUGUUUUGGUUGAUCUCGAUGCCUUUUUGUUGCACCAAGAAACCCAAGAAGUCUCCUGCAUGUACACCAAAAGCACAUUUUAAUGGAUUCAUUUUUAAUCCAUAUUUUCUCAUCCUCUCAAAUGAGCGUCGAAGAUGGUCCAAAUGACCAUUUUCAGAUGAAUACUUUAUCACAAUAUCAUCAAUUUAUACCUGCAUAAUAUUUUCAAUAAAAUCAUGGAAUAUGGCAUUCAUGGCUCUAUGAUAGGUUGCUCUGGUGUUUUUUUAAACCAAACAGCAUCACAACCCUUUUGUAUGUUCCCAAAGCUCUGGGGCAUCGAAAUGCCAUCUUGAGAACAUCAUUUUCUGCUAUGAGAAUCUUAUUAUAGCCAGAAUAACCAUCAAGCAUACUUAAGUAUUCAAAACCUGUGGCUGAAUCGACUAAGAUUUCUCUGGCCACUGGGAUCGAAUACUAAUAUUUUGGAGUUGCAUUGUUUAAGUCUCUAAAAUCUAUACAGACUCUAAGUGUUCCAUUUUUCUUGAUAACAGGUACUAUGUUGGCUAACCAUUUGACGUACCUUGCAGUUCUGAUGAACCUGUUGUAGCAGUAAAUUCAUGACCAUUAAGCUAUGGAUAAACUUAACGUCAAUAAAACCAGAGUCACCACCGCGCUUUUAUUGUUUCCAAAGGAAAAGGGAAAAGUACGAACAAAACCCAAAGAUAAGAAGUUUUAAAAUCAAAACUAAUAAAAUGCGAGAGAUUACAGGUAAGGGGGUUGGUUACACAGAGGGAAGGUGUUAGCACCCAAAGUGUCCUAGGUACUCCUAGGGAGCCCUUUUUAAUGUGUGCAUGUAUUUUGGUAUAAAAGAUAUUUGAAGAGUGCGUGGAUGAUAAAAGAAUUCAUUGAUUAUAUUUUUAUGUUUGACAAGACCUUCGGACUUGUGCCUACGUACCAACAUAAAAAUGAGGGAUCAAAACCUCAUAGUUCGUGGUAUCAAUUUGAAAAUGAGUGAAUUGCUUUUAACAAAAUUUUAAUAGAAAGGGGGCACAAAGGGCCAAAAAUUUGAAUGAGUGUUAUUUCUUUUUGUCUUUUGAAAUUUUAAUUCAAUAUGAUUAGAUUUAUUUAUAGGUUUAAUUUAAGAAAAGGUUUGAAAAUUCAUUGGCAUAAGGUCAAAGUUUCUAAUCAUUUAAACAGAGUCUAAGUUUGAAAUCACAAGUAAAGAAAGUUUUUUAAAAGGGGGAGAUAUUUUGAAAUUUAAGAAGUGGGAGAAGAUGAAGAGGCUAACGUAAGCAUAAAAUUAAAAGUUAAGAGUUGAAAAGAUCUGACCAAUGGGAUGCAAUCCAACAGACAAGAAUGCUAUAUAGAAAAUGCAUUUUCCCUUUGGACUUUGAAUCAAGCAAUAAUCAAUCAAGAAAUUAGCAAUAUCAGACACCAUGGAGAUCAAGGCAUCAAAUAAAGACAGCCACAUCCAAGCAAGAAAAUCCCAUAGCUAGUAGUCUUCUUUGUCUUCUCAUGUAUCAGAUGAAAUACUCCUUGAUUAACUCAGAAUAAGGCAUUAGACACAAGAUCAAAAUAACAGUUGCAUCAAGACCAUGUAGCAGAUGAGUUCAAAUAAAUCCCAAUACUUGCACCAGAUAAAGGCCCAAUUCACAAUAACUUGGUCUCAAAAUGUUGGCAUUGGCCAAGUCCUUUGCAUAUGGAAUGCUGCCUAAUCCUAAGUCCAAAAGUUCAAAUCAAGCUCAACAGUCCACUCAAACAUUUUUUAGGGUUUUUGUUUUUUAUUAGGUAAUUUAAGGUCCUAAGACCAUAAAAAGAAUCAAAAUACACAAGUAAAUAUAUACAAUCACAAUAUAUGGCUCAAAUGAGCAAAGUGAAAAUGACAUAAACAUAAACAAGUUAAAUGAAAUGGAAAUGGCAAUGAAUGGUAAAUGACUUAGAAGUUAAAUUACAUAAAGUAAAUGACUUGAAAGUAAAAGCAGUAUUAAUAAGAGUUAGUCAAAUGUUAGUCAAGGUUAAUUGAAUGUUAGUGAUAUUUUGUUUUUCAAUUGAUUAAGUCAUUCUUUGGAGAAUACUCAACCAUCUAUUCACAAGUAUGGAUCCUUGAACUAAGACAUCUUCCAUAGGAAAGAAAAAAGGCCAAGUUUCUGCACAAUACCAUGAAAGAUGGGAAACUGACAAUCUCACUUACUAGAAUGAUAUGCCUUUAGGGUCAAAAUUUAGCUUUAUGUUAAGCAAUCAUAAUUGGACUUAUGUAGAAGUCACAACCAUCUGAGGUCGGGCAAUAAAAAUUUAGGUGUUAAUGCAUGU
rnacentral:lncRNA from 1 species